UUUGAGUAAACUCCGGGAGAUAGCGGAGGACAAGGAAGCCUGGUGUGCUGCAGUCCAUGGGGUUGCAAUGAGUCAGACACGAGUGAGUGACUGAACAACAACAAUUUUAUACAACCAAUACUUUUAACAUUUUAGUAAAUUUUAGGAAAAGGCAUUUAAGGGCAAAGCAGUCAGGAUGAAAAUUUAAUCUUUAACUUCAUGUCUUUACAUCUGUUCAUUUUAUAAUAAUGCUACCUUUGUUAAGCACUUAUGUAGCAAGUAUAAUAUACACAGAAGGUUGUAUAAAACAUAUAUGGAGAGUUUAAAGAAUAAUGACAAAAUGAUACUUGCAUUACCUGGGUUAAGAAAUGAAACAUUUCAGUGACUUGAAAUUCCCUGUGUGUAUUCUUCUUUAAUCAUAUUUUCCAUCCUCCUUCUCAGCAGAUAACCAUUAGUCUGAUUUUUUUGGCUUAAUUUCCCCUUGAUUUGCUUUAUAUGUUUACCACCUGUAUGUAUCGUUAGGUAAUAUAUUGUUUAGAUUUUUGACAGCUGAGUGGCAAGUGCAGUCAUUGUGGCAGGGUCUCAGAAGAUAAACUGAACAGAUCCUCAGGUCAAGUUUGGUUUCAGCAACUGAGAGAACCCAAGUGCUCCUUCUGGAAAGUCAGGGGUCAGAUCAAGAGUGAGUUCUGGGAACCACAGGAUAUGCCACAGUUGGACCAUCUGGUGGAGUUGCGGAUGCUUUACCCUCUAAGCCACCCCUGGUAGCCUCACAGCCAGAAACAAAAGACUACACGGAAGACUGCUUCACAGCAUCAGCCACUGAAGACCCUGCUGGAGCAGCCGCACUGGGACAUCUGCAGCCUUCACGCUGGGCACCUCCCCCUCUCCCAGAAUAAUCCUGUACACUACCUGUUGCCUCCUAUUGUUCUGCAAGUUGAAUUUACAUAUGGGUGUAUCUGAUCAGCAAAGCCUAUGUCACACGUCGGCAAGCCUAGCUGCAAGAGAGGGCCAAGAAAAGUUCUGGAGGCUGGGAAGUCCAAGAUCAAGAUUGUGGCACAUCCGGUGUAUGGUGAGAACUCGCUUCCUGGUGCAUUUACAUGUGUAUUUACAUGGUGGAAGGUAUUUACAUGUAAAUGUGCAUUUACAUUCCUGUGUCUUUACAUGGUGGAAGGGGCAAGGGAGCUCUCUGUGGUCUUAUCUUUUUUUUUUUUUUUUGCCACAUCACAAGACAUGCAGGGUAUUGGUUAGGGUUAAGACAUCUUAAUUCUCCAACUGGGGGUUGAACCCAUGCCCCCUGCAGUGGAAGCACAGAGUCGUAACCACUGGACCACCAGGGAAAACCCUGGGGUUUCUUUCAUAAAAGCACUACCCUCAUCAUCUAAUCACCUCCCAAAGUGCCCACCUCCUCAUUCUAUUACAUUGGGGGUUAGGAUUUAACACAUGAAUUCUGGGGGGAACAUAAGCAUUUUGUCCAUAGCCCCACUGGAUACUGUUGGAUCUCUGGCCUGGUUUUCUAUUACUGCAGAACAAACCCUUGUAAACUUAGUGGUAUAAAAUAAAAAUUUUAUUAUGCUCCCAGAUUCUAUGGAUCAGGAAUCCAAUGAGACUGUAGAGAUCGCUUGCCUUGUCUGGGGCUUCAGG